rnacentral:lncRNA from 1 species
GUAAUGAAAAAGUGAAGAGAACAAGCGAUCAAGAUGUAACAAAACUAAACACGAAUAUAAUUGAAAACAAGAAAACAAGUUACUAGAUGGAGAAUUUAGAGACAGAGAGAGAGAGAGAGAGAGCAUACCAUAGUGAAUUCGGUGAGACUCAUCUUUUUAUUCUAGCUUCGGAGAGAACCAGAAAUUCAAGCGGAACCUGAACAAAGGCAGAUAAAGAGAAGCGAGAGAGAGCGAGAUCGGUGCGAUGCUGACGCCUUCAGUAAACGAUGCCGUUUUUGGUCACGGGCACUGCAGCCCUCACAUACAACGUCUAAUUAUCACCGUCC